rnacentral:ncRNA from 1 species
AAGAGAGGACGACCUCCCCCAGACACUGGGCCAAUCGUUCGGGACGACCCGA